UAGCGACAAAUGUCAACUAGGAAAUCACGGAUCCUCUGCGGUUGUGUCUCAAGGGGUCAAGGAGAAACCACAAGAUUAUCCGGUUAAAAGGAGAAGCAAAAUGAAAUCGGCGUUUAGAAACGCCUACUUCUCCCUCUCUCGCUCCUUAAACCCUAUCCCCAAGCCCUCUACCAUUUCCCACUCUCUCCCUUCCAUCACCACCUCUCUUUCACUCUCUUUCUUGCCUUUUCGUCCGCAACACCUACCUUUUCGCUCGUUCUGCUCCUUCUCGUCAAUGGCGAGCGCCGACGAUUCUCACGCCCCCAACCUUUCUCCUCCUCCUCUCGAGAAGCAGUUCAAGGAUUUCCGUGCGCAGCUUGAAGAGUCCGGAGCCUUACGCGAGAAAAUUCGAGCAGUCGUGGUGGAGAUCGAGUCCGCCACUAGACUCAUGCACGUUAGCCUUCUCCUUGUCCACCAAUCCCGCCCAAUUCCAGAGGUUUUAGAAGAGGCUAAGGCUCAAAUUGGAGUCCUGAAGGGACUUUACGGCCAACUUGCAGAAAUUAUUCGUGAUUGCCCUGGGCAAUAUUACAGGUAUCAUGGAGAUUGGAGAAGUGAAACCCAGAUCCUGGUUUCUCUGCUUGCUUUUAUGCACUGGUUAGAGACAGGAAAUCUACUUACACAUUCUGAAGCAGAGGAAAAACUUGGGUUGAACAGUUCAGAGUUUGUUUUGGACAUUGAGGACUAUCUUAUUGGUGUUUGUUUCAUGUCAAAUGAAAUGCCUAGAUAUGUGGUGAAUCGAGUGACUGCUGGGGACUAUGAUUGCCCGAGAAAGGUGUUGAAGUUCUUGACAGACCUCCAUGCAGCCUUCCGCAUGCUUAAUCUCCGGAAUGAUUUUCUGCGCAAGAAGUUUGAUGGUAUGAAGUAUGAUCUAAGAAGGGUUGAAGAAGUGUACUAUGAUGUUAAGAUUCGAGGUUUGGCAGCCAACGGUGAUUCAAAUGCAAACCAAGGAGUGGAAGAUCAAUCAUAGCAUGCUGGAAUUCAAUAAAUGACAAGGAAGAAUUUCUACUCUGGGGGGUUGCAACUUGGAAGCAAAUGCUUCCAACUAACUUUUCAGAAAUAGCGGUCAUCACUGAUGGAUGUCCUCGUCAUCAUUGACCAUCUUACAAUUAUGACAGGGUUUCUAGUUGUCACCAAGAGUACACUACAUGUCACAGUCAUACAUGGCUCCGGGUUUCCAUUACGCUUAGCUUCAACAGAUUGGCUAUUGUAGCGGUCACGGUGCACUUGGCCCCAACCUCGAGCCUUUAAUGCUGCGUAGCCAGCUUGCAUUUACAAGGCCGAUCUCUGGUUAACCUGUGGGCACCUCCACAGUAACAAACAAAUUAGUCCAAUGGAAGCUAGCGUUGUGACCCCUCUUUUCUUUUCUUUUUCUUAUCUUAUCCCCGCAAAAAAAAUCAUUUUAGAUAAGUAACAAAUAUAGCAUAUGAUUUAUCACUUUUAUCUUUUAAAGGCAAAAGAAAUCAUUAUACAUCAAAUAAUUAUUAUAUAA